CUCUUCCUAGCUAGAACGACAUUAUCUGGACAUUGUAUAGCAGAGACGUUGUAUGUUUUGGUUGUUUGUUGUAGCCCCCGUAUGCAACAUAUACCGAUUGAAGUUUGGAACUUUAUGCACUGAUGGAAAGAUGACGUGACUAUCCCGAAUUCGUGAAGACUAGGUCUGCUGAGGAUACCAUUAUAGGUUGACGUAAAUCUUACAACUGUG
rnacentral:lncRNA from 1 species